GUGUUUUACAUAUCUGUUCCGUUUUAAAAAUAGGUAAAUGAUUAGAGCUUUGGCGCUGGGCAGACUUGGGACGAAACCCGAGCUGCGCUGUUCAUUUGCUGCUGCUGCUCACAGGGCCCGGGCAGGCUCCUUCCCCUUCUCUUCCUCCUCCACACACGGAGGACACAAACGGAACCGUCCUAGUGGGGUUUCCGAGACUGGGAGGGGGAAACAUCUGGCGGGGAAACAGCUGGAAUGACCGGAAGUAUCAGGACCAACUUGGCAACUGUUGAGUACGUGGAUGGAGAAAGAAUAUGUGAGGGCCCGGGAUGUGGCGCAGUGGCACCAUGCCUGCCUAGCAAGCGCCAGGUCUGGACUUUGAUCCCCGGAAGAGUGCGUGAAAGAACGACAUCAAUUUUUGUCUGACACCAGGGAGGACGCAUUCUUUUUCUCCUGAAAUUGAGACCUUUUUUCCAGUGCUGAGCCCACACGCUAGGCAAGCCCAGCCACUGAAGAUUGUGACUUGGGUGCCCACGCUCUUAUCACAGCAGAGGCGUGGAUGGGAAGGGAGAGGAACAGCGGUCGGACAGACCAUUUGUGACCUGAUGCCUCCCGGUGGACAAAGGAGCGAGCCAUCAGCGUCUGCACUAUUUCCAGUUCCGGUGGAAGCGAAACGACUUACAUGUGCAUAAAAUGGAGAGGAGAUUCCGCGUUAUGCUAAGUCGAAGCCUGAUAACAGUUUUAGCUGCACGCAGAAUUCUGCAUGGUUUCAGAAUUUACUGAAAGGGUUCACGUGUGCUGCUGGACGCUAUCAGAACCCUCACAGAACAGCAGCUCCCCUACGAUGCUGGAGUCACCUUAAAUCUCAGACUGCGCGAAAAUGAGAACGCUAUUUGCCAAAACAAAAACAAAGAGAAUAAUUGUGCAUUAAGGUCAAACCUAGUAAUAGCGUCCUUCGCGUUUAUCUG
rnacentral:lncRNA from 1 species